rnacentral:lncRNA from 1 species
GCAUUUUGAUACACAUUCUUCUACUAUUUUACUUAGGCAAAUUUAUAGUUUAUUAUAUUAUUUUUACUAUUUUAGUGUGUUUUUAUAUUUAAGUUUAUUUUUUACUUUAUUUUAUUUUCGUACUUUAUUUUCAGCAUAAAUAGUUAUUUGAUACCUUGUCACAAUGCAGAUCAUAACUUGAGCUACGAGAAUCGGAUUGAUGUGUUCUAAUAAGCGUUGGGAAGCUGAGAGGAUAAACUAAAAGUUUUAUGUUGAAGUUAGAAGCUG